rnacentral:rRNA from 1 species
UUUAAAUUGAGAGUUUGAUCCUGGCUCAGGACGAACGCUGGCGGCGUGCUUAACACAUGCAAGUCGAGCGAUGAAGCUUCCUUUGGGAAGUGGAUUAGCGGCGGACGGGUGAGUAACACGUGGGCAACCUGCCUCAAAGAGGGGAAUAGCCCUCCGAAAGGAGGAUUAAUACCGCAUAAAGUUAAGGUUUCGCAUGAAAUUUUAACCAAAGGAGUAAUCUGCUUUGAGAUGGGCCCGCGCCCCAUUAGCUAGUUGGUAAGGUAAUGGCUUACCAAGGCGACGAUGGGUAGCCGACCUGAGAGGGUGAUCGGCCACAUUGGAACUGAG